CGAGGGGGAGUCGGAGUGUGUGCCGGGCGCCAGCCCCCUUGAGGAGAGGGCGCUCGUACGAGCUGCCGAAACGAGGAGGGACCUCAAUGGCGUGGCUGAGAAGCUGGAGGAGAUCGUUGAUUCUGUGCAGCUCUGUCCUGCCGAAACGGAAUCGGAUGGGAUUGAAGAUGAAGAAGACUAUGCUAUCCAGAGAGUGGUGGAACUGUUAAGAGAGUCUGGAGACCAGCUGGACGAAGAGGCGA